rnacentral:rRNA from 1 species
GACGAACGCUGGCGGCGUGCCUAAUACAUGCAAGUAGAACGCUGAAGAGAGGAGCUUGCUCUUCUUGGCUGAGUUGCGAACGGGUGAGUAACGCGUAGGUAACCUGCCUUGUAGCGGGGGAUAACUAUUGGAAACGAUAGCUAAUACCGCAUAACAAUGGAUGACACAUGUCAUUUAUUUGAAAGGGGCAAUUGCUCCACUACAAGAUGGACCUGCGUUGUAUUAGCUAGUAGGUGAGGUAAUGGCUCACCUAGGCGACGAUACAUAGCCGACCUGAGAGGGUGAUCGGCCACACUGGGACUGAGACACGGCCCAGACUCCUACGGGAGGCAGCAGUAGGGAAUCUUCGGCAAUGGGGGCAACCCUGACCGAGCAACGCCGCGUGAGGGAAGAAGGUUUUCGGAUCGUAAAGCUCUGUUGUAAGUCAAGAACGGGUGUGAGAGUGGAAAGUUCACACUGUGACGGUAGCUUACCAGAAAGGGACGGCUAACUACGUG